rnacentral:lncRNA from 1 species
AAUUUGUAAAUGAUGACCGUAACUUUUAAAGGAUGACCCUCAAUUCUAAGAAAUAUCCGUAAUUAUAUAACUAUCUUUUUGUAUCAAAUGAUUGCCAAAAGACAUGCAAAUGAACAGGAAGGGAAAACAUGCCACAAAAGCGCGAUAAAAUGACACCUUACAAGCAUAAUAAAAAAAAAAAUGGGGUGCACAGCCUUCAAUUGCUCGACAAAAGAUUUUUGUUUGUUUCUGGGAUUCCUUUUAAUGACAUAUAAUAAAUACACAUUUUUAAAAAUGCCAAAAAAUUGCAUGUACACCCA